GUAGGGGGCAGUGUAUGCUGCUAAAGGUUGAAUGCGAUCCGCCAACCCAAUCUCAAAGAAGAAGAACGUAAUUCGCUAACGCCGUAUUUUCGAAAUGGCAUAUCUCGAGUUCAAGUUUGAGGACGAAAUUACUAAAUAUAUUCGGGAACAAGAAUUGGCAACGUCACUGAAAUUCGUAAUAUUGGGAAAGGACAAAAGUUUUGGACAAAAGGAUGCACAGCCUUUGGCACGGAAAAAACUCAGCUGGGAGAGUAAAAGUAUCCCGUUCAAUGGUGUUCCGUUUCAAGUUGUUGGCACAAAGACGUAUGAAUGCCACCAGGGCAAAGACAGACAGACAAAAGCCAAAGAGAAAUAUGCUGCUGAAAGAGACAAGAAGGAACUUGAAGACCAUGCCUUUGUAAAGAGACGGAAACUGGUACAAAAUACCAAAAAGGUGGACUGCAAGGCUAUAAUAAACAUCGCCCACGUUAUUCGCUUUCCUGAUUUUAAGAUUGAGGAAGGUACAGUGCGCUCUAAAAAGGAGGCCUCCCAAACUCUGAAGGCAGCACUAAGUGAAACACCCAGCUCCGUGAAGGCAGAGGUUGUCUACUGCGUCAGGUUCCCCUCCCUCUCUGAGCACAGCUCACAUGCAGUUGUUGGCGAGGCAGCUCAUGUUAGGGAAGCUGUAGAUGCCAGGCUGAGAGAGAAGAUUGAGCAGCUGACUCUGUCUGGUGUGAGAAAGAUGACUGAAAUGAAGUGUCAUCUGAACACCUUUGUAGUGGAAGAGCUUUUCCAUGGAGAGCAGCCCCCUCCACCUACUCGCAGGCGCUAUUACCCCACUGACAGUGACAUAAGAAAUGUCAUGUUUAAGACCAAGCGGGCCACCGGAGACUCCAACAUUGACCGUCCAUACGAAGGUCCAUCUGGAAGAGGAAAGAAGAGGUCCUCUAGGAAGCUGUUGCGGUUACGGAGGCAAUGUGCAGGAUAUCUUAAAGAGAUCACAGAACUCACUUAUCAUCUCCAAGAGGAACAGUACGUGACUGACCUGUCUUCACAGCUCAGAAGUGUGCUGCUGGAUAUGAAGGCCCAUGUUCCACAGGAUAAAGACCUUCCACUGACCUUUUCUCCAAGGAAGAGAAAAGCUGAGAUGGACAUGGACCUCAUUCCAACCAAGAGUGCAUCACACCCUUUCAUAGAUGGGUUAGAACAGCAUACAGAGGACAUAGUGAGUGUGGAUACCUUGUUGGCAUUGAGCCUAGGUUAGUAGGGCUGAGUGGAUACCUUGUUGGCAUUGAGCCUAGGUUAGUAGGGCUGAGUGGAUACCUUGUUGGCAUUGAGCCUAGGUUAGUAGGGCUGCGUGGAUACCUUGUUGGCAUUGACCCUAGGGUAGUAGGGCUGAGUGGAUACCUUGUUGGUAUUGAGCCUAGGUUAGUGGGGCUGAGUGGAUACCUUGUUGGCAUUGAGCCUAGGGUAGUAGGGCUGAGUGGAUACCUUGUUGGCAUUGAGCCUAGGUUAGUAGGGCUGUGUGGAUACCUUGUUGGUAUUGAGCCUAGGUUAGUAGGGCUGAGUGGAUACCUUGUUGGUAUUUAGCCUAGGGCUGAUGACUGUGUGGGUUCUGCCUCCAAUUGAGUAUAUUUUGGGUAGUGUAACUUUUAUUUCAACUAAUGUUACUGUAACGGAUGUGAAAUGGCUAGCUAGAUUAAAGUUAUACUGUUACAUUAACAACUUCAUUAAAACAUGUUUUCUCAUCUGUACAACAAAUACAUGACUAUAGUACGUCAUUUAGGAGGCAUAUAUAAACACACGGUUCCACUCAUCUGCAGCUACUCUGCACUUUAUUGUAUUCUGGUCUGUCCUGAUGCCUAGUCACUUUACCCUGCACAUUUAUCUCUUUGAUCUGGUACUUCCUGUAUAUAGCUGCACAUUGAUCUGGUACUGGUAAUCCCUGUAUAUAGCUGCGCAUUGAUCUGGUACUGGUAAUCCCUGUAUAUAGCUGCACAUUGAUCUGGUACUGGUAAUCCCUGUAUAUAGUUGCACAUUGAUCUGGUACUGGUAAUCCCUGUAUAUGGUGUUAUUAUUGUGUAUUCUAUUCCUCUUGUUACAAUCCCCAUGUUUUUUUAAAAACUUUGAAUCGUUGUGAAGGGCUGUAAGCAAGAAUUUCACGGUUAAGUCUACACACCUGUUAUAUUCGGCGCAUGUGACAAAUAAAAUUUGUUUUUGAAGUGCCCAAAUAAAGUAACAGGGUUGACCUUAAAAGUGUUGACGUUUAAUCUUAAAUCAGACCAUUUCUAAAUAUGCAUUAAUGACAGUUUCUUUGAAGCUGUGUAUGUUUUACUUGUGGAUUUUUUUUAAACAAAAAUUUAAAAUCAAGAUGUAUCAAUUUGUUUUUAUUUUUAUAAUGGCAUGUACAUAUUGGAGUAAACCUAUUUUGGGUUAAAACAACUAACACUCGAGUAAGGGCCAACAUGAUUAGCUUGCAACCUGAUUGAGUGGUUGAUCUGGUUGAGUGCAUUGUUUUACAACUAAGUAUUCCCUUUCCUUGAAUAAGCAACCUGGUCUCAGAGCAUUUGGUAUUAUUCUGUACGUAAAUCCAAGAUACUCAUUUUACUAUAUGUUUCAUAUGGUAUAUAUUAAUCUGGAGAUGUCCACCCAUUCCGUAUGAUAUCUUACGAAGUACAAUUAAUAUUCUAUUUUACGAAUUUGCAGAAAAUAUGCUAUGUUAUGAAUUCAAGCUAGGUGGGUAAUGUUCGCCAGGCUAGGGGUUAGGUUAGGGGAAGGGUUAGCUAACAUGCUAAGUAGUUGCAAAGUAACUAAAAUGCUAAAGUUGUCCGUGAUGAGAUUCAAACUCGCAACCUUUGGCUGUGUGUUCAUACACCUACCCAGCCCCCUGACUUCAGUAACUAUACCAAACGUAACAUACGGUGCAUUCAGAAAGUAUUCAGACCCCUUCCCUUUUUCCACAUUUUGUUACGUUACAGCCUUAUUCUAAAAUUGAUUAAAUUAAAUGUUCAUCAAUCAACACACCUUACCCCCUAAUGACAAAGUCUAAAAAAAAUAAAUGCUAAUGAUAAAGCG
ensembl:lncRNA